rnacentral:rRNA from 1 species
AGUCAAGUAAUUAAGUGCAUGUGGUGGAUGCCUUGGCAGUCAGAGGCGAUGAAAGACGUGAUAGCCUGCGAAAAGCUCCGGGGAGGCGGCAAAUAUCCUUUGAUCCGGAGAUGUCUGAAUGGGGGAACCCACCUACUUUAAGGUAGGUAUUGCAACAUGAAUACAUAGUGUUGCAAGGCGAACGAGGGGAAGUGAAACAUCUCAGUACCCUUAGGAAAAGAAAUCAAUUGAGAUUCCCUCAGUAGCGGCGAGCGAACGGGGAUCAGCCCAUUAAGUUAUGUGUGUUUUAGUGGAACGCUCUGGGAAGUGCGAACGUAGAGGGUGAUAUUCCCGUACACGAAAGGGCACACAUAAUGAUGACGAGUAGGGCGAGGCACGUGAAACCUUGUCUGAAUAUGGGGGGACCAUCCUCCAAGGCUAAAUACUCCUGACUGACCGAUAGUGAACCAGUACCGUGAGGGAAAGGCGAAAAGAACCCCUGUGAGGGGAGUGAAAUAGAUCCUGAAACCGCAUGCAUACAAGCAGUGGGAGCACCUUCGUGGUGUGACUGCGUACCUUUUGUAUAAUGGGUCAGCGACUUAUAUUCAGUAGCGAGGUUAACCGUAUAGGGGAGCCGUAGAGAAAUCGAGUCUUAAUAGGGCGUUUAGUUGCUGGGUAUAGACCCGAAACCAGGCGAUCUAUCCAUGAGCAGGUUGAAGGUUGGGUAACACUAACUGGAGGACCGAACCCACUGUCGUUGAAAAGCCAGGGGAUGACUUGUGGAUAGGGGUGAAAGGCUAAUCAAGCCUGGUGAUAGCUGGUUCUCCCCGAAAGCUAUUUAGGUAGCGCCUCGGACGAAUACCAUAGGGGGUAGAGCACUGUUUCGGCUAGGGGGUCAUCCCGACUUACCAAACCGAUGCAAACUCCGAAUACCUAUGAGUACUAUCCGGGAGACAGACUGCGGGUGCUAACGUCCGUAGUCAAGAGGAAAACAAUCCAGACCGCCAGCUAAGGCCCCAAAAUCAUAGUUAAGUGGGAAACGAUGUGGGAAGGCAUAGACAGCUAGGAGGUUGGCUUAGAAGCAGCCACCCUUUAAAGAAAGCGUAAUAGCUCACUAGUCGAGUCGGCCUGCGCGGAAGAUGUAACGGGGCUAAAACUAUGUGCCGAAGCUGCGGAUGUAUACUUUGUAUACGUGGUAGGGGAGCGUUCUGUAAGCCGAUGAAGGUGUGUUGAGAAGCAUGCUGGAGGUAUCAGAAGUGCGAAUGCUGACGUGAGUAACGACAAAACGGGUGAAAAACCCGUUCGCCGAAAGACCAAGGGUUCCAGUCCAACGUUAAUCGGGGCUGGGUGAGUCGACCCCUAAGGCGAGGCCGAAAGGCGUAGUCGAUGGGAAAAUGGUUAAUAUUCCAUUACUUCUGUGUAAUGCGAUGAGAGGACGGAGAAGGCUAAAUCAGCCUGGCGUUGGUUGUCCAGGUGAAAGGAUGUAGGCAUGUAUCUUAGGCAAAUCCGGGGUACUCUAUGCUGAGAUCUGAUAGCAAGCUG